ACGACGCUGGCGGCGUGCCUAAUACAUGCAAGUCGAACGGUCUUUCUAUGGAAGCUUGCUUCCACUGAGAAGAUAGUGGCGAACGGGUGAGUAACACGUGGGUAACCUGCCCAUAAGAGGGGGAUAACAUCCGGAAACGGGUGCUAAUACCGCAUAGUUUUCUUGAUCGCAUGAUUGAGAAAGGAAAGACGGCCUUUGUGCUGUCGCUUAUGGAUGGACCCGCGGCGUAUUAGUUAGUUGGUGAGGUAACGGCUCACCAAGACGAUGAUACGUAGCCGACCUGAGAGGGUGAUCGGCCACAUUGGGACUGAGACACGGCCCAAACUCCUACGGGAGGCAGCAGUAGGGAAUCUUCCGCAAUGGACGAAAGUCUGACGGAGCAACGCCGCGUGAGUGAAAGAAGGUUUUCGGAUCGUAAAACUCUGUUGUCAGAGAAGAACAAGUUGGAGAGUAACUGCUCCAGCCUUGACGGUAUCUGACCAGAAAGCCACGGCUAACUACGUGCCAGCCGCCGC
rnacentral:rRNA from 1 species